ensembl:lncRNA
CCUCCAGGUCUACCCAGAGAGCCCUAGAGGAAGACUGCAGGGACACUGGGAAUCGGGACGGACAUGCAAUUUCUCAGUCUCCUGCUGCACCUCGACUCUCGACAUCGGGGCACGAUCCAUCACGACUUACCCAAACAACCUCCAGCAAGGCGAGACCUCCCCAUGUCUGGGGCCAGUGAGGCAGUGUGUCCCCGCAGGACCAGGCAGCAGUGCUCCCAGGGCACUGUUCUGCACUUUGUCCCAUGCUGUGUGCAGCUCUGGGCCGUGUGCAUCUGUUACUCCAGUGACAACCAAGGGCUUGGUGUCAAGUCCUUAUCCAUGUGGGAUGGGUCAUCUUCACGCAACCACUUCACCUGGACAUGAAUGGACUCUGUCAUGAGCAGAUGCAUGGUGAAGAGCCCAGCCAUCCUUUGGGGCAGUUGGAGAGGCUCUCAAUAUCCUUCCAAAUGACCCUCUCAUCCUUCAGCCCAGGUGACAAAUUCCUGACACCUCCAUCACCCAGCAACCAAAAAACCACCGCUAAUCAGAAGGCUGAUAAUGGAGAUCUUAUGCAAUACUGGGCUCUUGAUUGGGUUUCCCAUUGAUGGAUGAUGAGCUGUCGCUUCAGUGCAGCACGGCACCUCAGAUGGCACCUCUUGAUUUGGAACUCACUGGAGGACGACCUGAAUCUCCACCAGGCUGUGAAAGGUUUGCUCUUCUUUCUUUCUAGCUCUGGCCAUGGAUAUGCUACCCAUAAAUAAAAGCCCAUCAAACAGUCCUUUUCUGUAAAUCCCUUCAUAGCAAUGCCAGUUAAUAAAACUGUUUUCAUGUCACCAGUGCCAUUUUCCAGAAAAGACGGGGCCAAAGAACAACAGUGCCCAUAACACAACCUUUUUUGUUCCGUGAAAGUAAUUAGUUUGGCUUGGACUUUAUGCGCUUGGGGGUUAAUUAUCCUAAAACUGCCCAUGAGCUCCCAUGAUGUGGGGGUAUUUGUGCUGUCAGAGGUGCCAGUUCCUCGGCGAGGCUCUUUACGAGUCCCAGUGUUCGCUAUUUUCCCUCAAUUCUCAGCUUAGUGGCACUGUGUGCUUUCAUAGCUCGUCCCCCACGAUGGUUCUACCCCUCAUGGUUCCAAACGAUGACCCGAGAGCACCCGGGAGCAAAAGGCAAAUAAGGUGCAUUUGUUCACAGCCACUUUAAUCACAAUUUCUACUGCCAACAUCACAAUUUUGCAGAGCCUUCAGUUAAGAUUUUUAAGUUGCUGGUGCCAGCCUGCCCCUACAAUAGAUCUCAACAGCUUUUUUGGGUGAAAGAGGAGCCCACAGAGCCUAUCUUGGUGCAGGCUCUGUUUGCAGCGAUGUGCUUUCCAAGUGCGCAGUCUGUGAAGGUGAGGUCAUGCCAGAGCUGCUGGAGGUUGAGCUUUGGGGUGGAAAGAGGUGAGAACUCCUGAACUUUCACCGCGUGCUAUGGUGGAAAAAAAAAAAAAUAAGAAAACCAAACCAAAGCCAUGUAACCGAAAUAUCUCAUAAACCAUUUUUCUUUCUAUUCUUUCUUUUUUUUAAGUCAAGAAACGGCCAUAGGCAGCUGUUGUAACCAAGCCAAGAAUAAUUUGUGACAGGAAAGUUUGAGCAUUUGUAAAAAU